GUGUUCAUAAUUUAGGUUUAGAGUGUACUUUUUAUGAUUGUUUUUCAUUGUGGUUGUAUUUAUGUGCCUUUUUGUUAUAGCAUGGUAACAAAAUUCAUGCUAUUGUAUGAAUAAAUAUGAUCUACAAAUUUCAGAAGGAUUUGAAUGAAGGAAAGGUCUACUUUGAUGUUGCGCUACAAAUCUUGGAGCUUAUUGGACAAGGAAACAUGAAUACAAACUAAAUUUUGUGAAAUUAUGCGGAGUGGAUAGUGUACCUUUAGAUAUUUCAAUUCAAAUAUUGAUUUGGUGUUUCUUAUUAUGUCAUUUAUACGUAUAAUAUUGUUCGGAUUAGUUUUUUCAUCACAACAUUAUUU
rnacentral:lncRNA from 1 species